UACGUAGGGGGCAAGCGUUGUCCGGAGUUACUGGGCGUAAAGCGCACGCAGGCGGUUCUCUCAGUUCCUGGUGACAGUCGUCGGCUUCACUGACGAAGGAGUGGGAAGACGGGAGAACUUGAGGGCUUCAGAGGGACACGGAAUUCCGGGUGGAGUGGUGAAAUGCGUAGAUAUCCGGAGGAACACCGGUGGCGAAGGCGGUUCUCUGGGCCUUACCUGACGCUGAGGAGCGAAAGCGUGGGGAGCGAACAG
rnacentral:rRNA from 1 species